CAAAUUAAUUCUUUAUUGGAGUUAUUAUUUACAUUAAUAAUUUGAUUGUGAAAUUCAAUCUAAUUUGA
rnacentral:tRNA from 1 species